rnacentral:rRNA from 1 species
GGCCUUUAGUUUAUGAUUUAAGGUCUGACCUGCCCAAUGAUUGUUUAAAUGGCCGCAGUAUUUUGACUGUGCAAAGGUAGCAUAAUCAUUAGUUUUUUAAUUGAAAGCUGGAAUGAAUGGUUUGAUGAAAAAAUAACUGUCUCAAUAAAAUUGAUUUAGAAUUUUAUUUUUUAGUAAAAAAGCUUAAAUUUUUUAUGAAGACGAGAAGACCCUAUAGAGUUUAAUAUUAAUAUUAAUAAUUUUUUUAGGUUGUUUUUACUUAAUUAUUAGUAUUAUUAUUUUGUUGGGGUGAUAUAAAAAUUUAAUUAACUUUUUAUUUUUAAAAACAUUAAUUUAUGGAUAUUUGAUCCUUGUUUUUUGGAUUAUAAGAUUAAAUUACCUUAGGGAUAACAGCGUAAUUUUUUUUGAGAGUUCUUAUCGAUAAAGAAGUUUGCGA